UUCCAAACAGGUUCUUCUUUCGCAUCCUCUAUGUCGGUUACAUUCAAGGUGUCAUUGGGGGGAAUAGGGAAGAUGCAAUCAAUUAUGAAGACAAUUUUAAUACCUUCACCAUCCUAAUUCAACCCCUUUAUAGAUUUAAAUAGUUUCAUACCAGUUUUCCUAAAUGCUGCUUCUUUCACAAUCUCGGUGUGAGUUACGUUCAAAUGUCCGUCUUCCACAAUCUCGCUGUCAGUUGCGUUCAAAGGUCCAUCUUCCACAAUCUCGGUUGGGUUCAAAGGUCCUUCUUCCACAAUCUCGCUGUCAGUUACGUUCAAAGGUCCGUCUUCCACAAUCUCUCUGUCAGUUACGUUCAAAGGUCCGUCUUCCACAAUCUCGGUUGGGUUCAAAGGUCCUUCUUCCACAAUCUCGCUGUCAGUUGCGUUCAAAGGUCCGUCUUCCACAAUCUCGGUUGGGUUCAAAGGUCCUUCUUCCACAAUCUCGGUUGGGUUCAAAGGUCCUUCUUCCACAAUCUCUCUGUCAGUUGCGUUCAAAGGUCCUUCUUCCACAAUCUCGGUUGGGUUCAAAGGUCCUUCUUCCACAAUCUCUCUGUCAGUUGCGUUCAAAGGUCCGUCUUCCACAAUCUCGGUUGGGUUCAAAGGUCCUUCUUCCACAAUCUCGGUUGGGUUCAAAGGUCCUUCUUCCACAAUCUCGGUUGCUUUCAAAGGUCCUUCUUCCACAAUCUCGGUUGCUUUCAAAGGUCCUUCUUCCACAAUCUCGGUUGGGUUCAAAGGUCCUUCUUCCACAAUCUCGGUUGGGUUCAAAGGUCCGUCUUCCACAAUCUCGGUUGUGUUCAAAGGUCCUUCUUCCACAAUCUCGCUGUCAGUUGGGUUCAA